UACGGAGGGUGCAAGCGUUAUCCGGAUUCACUGGGUUAAAGGGAGCGUAGGUGGGUUGGUAAGUCAGUGGUGAAAUCCCUAAGCUUAACUUGGGAACUGCCAUUGAUACUAUUAAUCUUGAAUACCGUGGAGGUCAGCGGAAUAUGUCAUGUAGCGGUGAAAUGCUUAGAUAUGACAUAGAACACCAAUUGCGAAGGCAGCUGGCUACACGAAUAUUGACACUGAGGCUCGAAAGCGUGGGGAUCAAACAGG
rnacentral:rRNA from 1 species